GGCGGGUGAUUAUACAUGGCGGGUAUUGUUUCAAGCAAGAUAAGAAUGAAACACAUCAAAGUGAAAGGAGCCUAGUUUUUCAAGACGGCACAUGAUAAUAUCAACAUGGAAACUAUGAUUAGUAGAUACAAAAUAGAGGAGCAAGGAAAAGAACAGUUGAGACUCAUUGGAGAAAUCAAUUUGAGACAUUGGAUCCCAAAGUAGGUCACAAUCACGAUUUUAUUUAUGUUUGGUAUCAUGUACUAGGAAUAAUUGUGGGUGUACAAAAAGACUAGAAUGCCUGGGGUACUGUU